rnacentral:rRNA from 1 species
GNAAUUACUGGGCGUAAAGAGNUCGUAGGUGGUUUGUUGCGUCGUCUGUGAAAUUCCGGGGCUUAANUUCGGGGUGGCAGGCGAUACGGGCAUAACUAGAGUGCUGUAGGGGAGACUGGAAUUCCUGGUGUAGCGGUGGAAUGCGCAGAUAUCAGGAGGAACACCGAUGGCGAAGGCAGGUCUCUGGGCAGUAACUGACGCUGAGGAGCGAAAGCAUGGGGAGCGAACAGGAUUAGAUACCCUGGUAGUCCAUGCUGUAAACGGUGGGCGUUAGGUGUGGGGACCGGUUUGGUUUCUGUGCCGUAGCUAACGCAUUAAGCGCCCCGCCUGGGGAGUACGGCCGCAAGGCUAAAACUCAAAGGAAUUGACGGGGGCCCGCACAAGCGGCGGAGCAUGUGGAUUAAUUCGAUGCAACGCGAAGAACCUUACCUGGGUUUGACAUGCACCAGACGGUUGUAGAGAUACGUACCUCCCUUUGUGGUUGGUGUGCAGGUGGUGCAUGGUUGUCGUCAGCUCGUGUCGUGAGAUGUUGGGUUAAGUCCCGCAACGAGCGCAACCCUUGUCUUAUGUUGCCAGCACUUUGGGUGGGGACUCAUGAGGGACUGCCGGGGUUAACUCGGAGGAAGGUGGGGAUGACGUCAAAUCAUCAUGCCCUUUAUGCCCAGGGCUUCACACAUGCUACAAUGGUU